GAUGAACGCUGGCGGCGUGCCUAAUACAUGCAAGUCGAGCGAACGGACGAGAAGCUUGCUUUUCUGAUGUUAGCGGCGGACGGGUGAGUAACACGUGGAUAACCUACCUAUAAGACUGGGAUAACUUCGGGAAACCGGAGCUAAUACCGGAUAAUAUUUUGAACCGCAUGGUUCAAAAGUGAAAGACGGUCUUGCUGUCACUUAUAGAUGGAUCCGCGCUGCAUUAGCUAGUUGGUAAGGUAACGGCUUACCAAGGCAACGAUGCAUAGCCGACCUGAGAGGGUGAUCGGCCACACUGGAGCGGAGACACGGUCCAGACUCCUACGGGAGGCAGCAGUAGGGAAUCUUCCGCAAUGGGCGAAAGCCUGACGGAGCAACGCCGCGUGAGUGAUGAAGGUCUUCGGAUCGUAAAACUCUGUUAUUAGGGAAGAACAUAUGUGUAAGUAACUGUGCACAUCUUGACGGUACCUAAUCAGAAAGCCACGGCUAACUACGUG
rnacentral:rRNA from 1 species